CUGUUCUGUACCAUCAUGAAUAUUUCUGUGGUGAAUACAUUAGUAAUAUAUUCAACACUGACAGAAAAUUGAAGAGUCACGUUUUUGCUUCAAGUCUGCACAAUGGUAGUUGAUGAGACCAUAUCUGAAGAGACAGCUAUCAACCCACACUUUCCACAGGAGGCAUGUUCAUUUUGAAAUCUGCAACAAAAAGUGCACCAUACACAUGACAGGAUCAAUGUAAUAUCUCCUCUACCACAAAUUUGCAUCUCAGAUGUGUUGGACUCACAGGAAACUGCACCAAAUACAGUUUGUUUUCCAUAUAUCUGGACAAAACCAGUUUUUGCCUGCCCAAGUUUACCUUAACUAUAGCCCACUGUGUAGCCGAGCAGUCAGGGGCGUGUUGUCACGGUUCGUGCAGCUGCCCCCAUCGGAGGUUUGAGUCCUCCCUCAGAAUAUACCAUGGAAUAUCUACCACCACUUUCCAGAACUUCACAUCCAUACUUGCAGAGAAUACUGUACAUAGCAAAGGAGUACUGUGGUAUAAGGGUACUCUGUUGAUGGAAGGAACUGAACCUCUACAAAAUGGCAACUCUUCAAGGCAAGGCACAAUGUGUGUCCUGGUUAACUGAGACUCAAUGAAAUUUCAGAACGAAGUAUGGAAGAGAUCCACCACUGCGCCCUUCAAUCUGUGCAUGGCACAAAAAAUUUAUAGAGACAGGUACAGUGUUAGAUAAAGGGAGGAGCGGGUGACCAAGAACAUCCGAGAAAAACAUCGAUCACGUUUUAAACACUUUCACUCGUUCACCUACGAAGUCUAUCUGCACUGCUGCUAGACAGCUGCAACUACCACGUUCAACAAUACAUAAGGUCCUCCACAAGAACUUAUGGUUGUACACUUACAAAGAGCAACUGUUACAACACUUGAGCCAAAUGAGAGCCAAAAUGGACAGAGUUUUCACUCAACAUGCUGGAACGCCUUUCAGAGGAUGAAGCAUUCCUCAAGCAAGUUAGUUUCAGUGAUGAGGCAACUUUUCAUGUUUCUGGGACAUUAAACAGACACUAUGUG